GACGAACGCUGGCGGCGUGCUUAACACAUGCAAGUCGAACGGAAAGGCCCUGCUUUUGUGGGGUGCUCGAGUGGCGAACGGGUGAGUAACACGUGAGUAACCUGCCCUUGACUUUGGGAUAACUUCAGGAAACUGGGGCUAAUACCGGAUAGGAGCUCCUGCUGCAUGGUGGGGGUUGGAAAGUUUCGGCGGUUGGGGAUGGACUCGCGGCUUAUCAGCUUGUUGGUGGGGUAGUGGAUUACCAAGGCUUUGACGGGUAGCCGGCCUGAGAGGGUGACCGGCCACAUUGGGACUGAGAUACGGCCCAGACUCCUACGGGAGGCAGCAGUGGGGAAUAUUGCACAAUGGGCGGAAGCCUGAUGCAGCAACGCCGCGUGCGGGAUGACGGCCUUCGGGUUGUAAACCGCUUUCGCCUGUGACGAAGCGUGAGUGACGGUAAUGGGUAAAGAAGCACCGGCUAACUACGU
rnacentral:rRNA from 1 species